rnacentral:lncRNA from 1 species
GUGUGGGGGACUUUUGGGAUAGCAUUGGAAAUAUAAAUGAAAUAAAUACCCAAUAAUAAAAAAAAUUUAAAAACAAAACAAAACAGGGAGGAUACUGAUCAACAAUGAGAUAAAUUAAAUCGGAGAAAGUCCACACCAAACUGACAACAUAUUUUGGUAAAACACUUAUUUGGUAUGUAAUUAAAUCUCUACUUGGGGAUCCUUAAUAAUUUUAGAACAAAAUUUAGUCACAUAUACAUGAUUAAGGCCAAGUCUAACUAUUAAAGAAUCCAAAUUGGUCUACAAGGAAAGACAAUAUUUAUAGAUAUAUAGAUGAGCAUCUCUUUCCUUCUUUCUCUCCCAUUGUGUCACAGAAUCCAUCUAUUUCCUUACACUGUAGAUUGCUCGCAUUUACCAGACUGAAGGCUUUGUACAAAUGGCACAACUUCCAUGAGUCUUAGUUUAUUUAUAUUGAAUGUAGUAGAAAUAACAGCAUGCACUUCAUGGAAGUAUUAGGAAGAUUGCAGCGAAAUUUGUAAAUUCUAUAAAACAAUAUCUUCAGAAUACCAAUGCCACAUGAGUAUUCACACCAUAUAUAUAUAUAUAUAUAUAUAUAUAUAAUACAUGAGUAUUCACAUUCAAUAUAUAUAUAUAUAUAUAUAUAGCCUUCUUAUCUCAGCAUAGAUAGAGCUAGAAAAGUCAGUGGGGGAGGGUAUUCUUAGUGAUGAUUCAUCAAGUGAAGCUGUAAAGUGUCUCCAGAGGGCUAUUCUCCAUGUUUAGUUUGUGAAUAUUCAAGAAUUUUCCCCUUCCUUCUAAAAGUGUUGAAAAGUUUAUUUAUUUUAUGUGUGGAUGUGGAUUGGAUUGUUUGUUUGCAUGGUGCCCAUGGGAUUCAGCAAAGACCAUCAAAUUUCCAGGAACUGGAAUUACAGAUGUUUGUGAACCACCAUGUGGGUGCUGGUGACUGAGCCCAGGACCUCUGCAAGAGCAGAGGUGCUCUUAACUGCUGAGUCCUCUUUCUAAUCCCUCAAGGACUUUUCUUCAUGUAUCAAAAGAACCUCCAGAUUUUCUAAGGCUGCUUGGGAACUCUUUGGGGUAAGAGAGGUGUCACUCUUCAUAUUAGAAGAGAUCACAAUUUGAGAAAUAUGUAACAAAGGGACAAUGUUCUCUUGAUAUUUUGCCUAGUGAGAACAGAGAUUGAUAGUGUCUGCAGAGUAGAGCAGAAUGGACAGGUUCAAGCAUUGUCUUUCUGAGUGCUACAUCUGGAAGAUCUAGCUUGGAGCUCAAUCAAGGAGUCUUCAUGCAACAGGAAUUAGACAGAUCCAAUGGUAAAAUCAUUAAAGGCAGAUGAAUUUGACAAUGUUAUAUGGUGUUUGACAUCUACAAAACUUUCACCAUGGCACUGUGGAAAGCAAUUCGACAGGGAUUAGAGGCAGAAUGAAGUGUCACAUGCUACAACAUGUUACACGCAGGCACGAAAUAUACCAUGAGAUUUAAACAUUUUCCUUUAAUUUCUGAGCUCUAAGUCAACCUUGAAGCUUUGGAAAAUAUUCUGACAAAUGAAAGUUUUGAAUGUAUUUUUAUAUUAUAUUGUAG